ACGUAGGGUGCGAGCGUUGUCCGGAAUUAUUGGGCGUAAAGGGCUCGUAGGCGGUUUGUCGCGUCGGGAGUGAAAACCAUGGGCUUAACUCAUGGCUUGCUUCCGAUACGGGCAGACUAGAGGCAUGCAGGGGAGAACGGAAUUCCUGGUGUAGCGGUGAAAUGCGCAGAUAUCAGGAGGAACACCGGUGGCGAAGGCGGUUCUCUGGGCAUGUCCUGACGCUGAGGAGCGAAAGUGUGGGGAGCGAACAGGA
rnacentral:rRNA from 1 species